GCAGUCUGUGGCCCUGGUUGAAGGAAGCA
rnacentral:piRNA from 1 species